GUUGAGGCCUAUCCCGACAGACCUUUUACUGUAGGGUCAUGUCGUUGGAAAUGCCUCAGACAGUAAAUCUGUAGUUUCGCUUUACCCACACGUUCACUGCCAUGAGCCUUGUGGGAUAUAACUGCAGAACACAU
rnacentral:snoRNA from 1 species